rnacentral:rRNA from 1 species
AAUGAACGCUAGCGGGAUGCUUUACACAUGCAAGUCGAACGCGUGGCGGACGGGUGAGUAAUAUAUCGGAACGUGCCCAGUAGCGGGGGAUAACUACUCGAAACGGUGGCAAAUACCGCAUACUUUUGGAUUGGCCGAUAUCGGAUUAGCUAGUUGGUGGGGUAAAGGCUUACCAAGGCAACGAUCCGUAGCUGGUUUGAGAGGACGACCAGCCACACUGGGACUGAGACACGGCCCAGACUCCUACGGGAGGCAGCAGUGGGGAAUUUUGGACAAUGGGGGAAACCCUGAUGCAGCCAUCCCGCGUGUAUGAGAAGGCCUUCGGGUUGUAAAGUACUUUUAGCAGGGAAGCGGUAUCUGCAGAAUAAGCACCGGCUAACUACGUGCCAGCCGCCGCGGUAAUUC